AUAUAAUCCUUAAUAUAAAUUUAUCCUAAAAACAGAAAUGACACUGUCACAACAAUAGUCUUAUUGACCCGAAGCCCGUGUUAAUUCUAAUUGAUCAGUUUUUAUGGCGCCAAUGAUACAUCGGUUUGUUUUUCUUAUGAAGACGUAACUAAUUGUUUAUAAGAAUUGCUAUUAAGAUUAUCAUUAUAGGAUUAUAUUUUGAGUUUAAAAAAUAAUAAUAAUGAUUCUAAAACAUAUCAAUAAUAUCCUUAAAAACGAUCUUGACGCAUCCUGGUUACUGUGAUGCAACAGUUCUCACUCCUUAAGAAAAAAAGUAUAAAAGUUAAUGCGUUUUUCGCUGAAUAUUUUUGUCAAUCCAGUUAAGGAACAUUAACUUCACAUGUGUUUUCAAGACUUUCAUCAGGACCUUCCGUUUCCAUUCCAUUUUGUAUACAAAUAUUUUCAGAUUCUCUCAAGAUAACAAAAAUUACUUCUUGUAAUUACGUUCUCCUAAAAACUUACAGAUCCAUGCUCUAGCUACAUUACCAACAUAAAAAUUUACGUAACAGAAAUAUAAAGAAAAAUGAAUAGCACAUGUAAUUUUAAGAAAGUAUCUAAAACUACGUUUAUAAUAUAUUCAAAAGGCCUUUAAAAGAACUUUGUUUUGGCCAACGCCCAAAUAAAGCUCAGAGACAGACGAAAGAAUUCUCUCAUAUGUUUUAUUUUGUAAAAGUACUAUCAGAUAAAGAAAGGGCUGGGGAAUGGAAAAAGAAUUUGAGAAAUGGAAGAAACUUAAUAAUAACAAAAACAAAACGAACAAGAAAAAUCUACCACUCGUUUUAGUCCAUGUAGUGAAGAAAAAAAUGUUUGAGAGUUCAUGUGGAAUGUACUGCUGAUAUCCGAUUAGACGUCAAGUGAUAAUGAAGAUGAAGAAAAUAAGCGUCCAAAGAAAGAUUAUCAACAUAUGUCUGAGCACUAUAAAUACUGAAUAUAUUUGUACUACACUUCCUAAACCAUCGGUUUCAUAGAGAUAUGUAUGUAUUUGUAAAGUCGAGAAGAUCAGAGAAUGUAACAGGCCAACUACGAAGACUAAAUAGGAGUUCUUAAUGCUGGAGACUCCAUAAAGGACCUGAUGAAAUCCUCCACAUUAAGUACCGGCGGGCGCUCCGGUGACACUGCGACAGUAACGGAUGCGACGACGGGGGGCGGCGGUGACCGCGCGUCGGGCGGCGAGGGCGCCUUCUGCGGCGGCUGGCCCUCCAUACCGAACAGCGCGAAGCGGAACGCACGUGCGACGUCAGAUACGCUCUCGGAUCGCUUGGCUCCCUGGUUAGCGACCAGGUCCAGGCCCGAGUGAAAGGAAGGCGACUUCGGUAUACCGAGCGGCGAGACGGCGCGACGCGGCUUCGUCUCAGCGGCGGCGAACAUAGCGCGGGAGGGCGCGCGAGCGGCCGGCCCUGCGUGGACCAUGGCAGGCGGCGGCCGGCAGCGGCAUCCGAGCGGAGGCCGGCGGCGCCGGGACCGGACUGACACCGCUCACCACCGCCCCGGUGCGCGCGCACUUUUCACCUCCUCACCCCACACCCCACGAAAACGGCACCCUCAACAUCGGUGAUAUAUGCAACCCGCAAUUCAAGGAAUUCCUUAAGUUUUACGAAAGAAAAACCUUCAAAGGCUAAGGCUGACUAUGGCACUCUAAGCAGUUUAUUGUCGAUCUGAUAAUAAAUGUCACAUAACGAAAUAAAUAUAUAAAUAUACGAAAUAAAUAAAUAUCACAUAACAAAAGUGUGAUGUGAUUGAUGUUAUACUAACAAGGGAACGCUUACUUUGGGGGUUGAUUAAUUAAAUUACUUAUAUUGAAGCUAGAAACACAAAUUAUAACUGAAAAAAUAAACCUUGCGCUAAUCCUAAGUACUAUAUAAAUAAUAAAGUUUUUGCAAUAAAUUUUAGAAGUUUCCUGUA